GACGAACGCUGGCGGCGUGCUUAACACAUGCAAGUCGAACGGAAAGGCCCUGCUUUUGUGGGGUGCUCGAGUGGCGAACGGGUGAGUAACACGUGAGUAACCUGCCCUUGACUUUGGGAUAACUUCAGGAAACUGGGGCUAAUACCGGAUAGGAGCUCCUGCUGCAUGGUGGGGGUUGGAAAGUUUCGGCGGUUGGGGAUGGACUCGCGGCUUAUCAGCUUGUUGGUGGGGUAGUGGCUUACCAAGGCUUUGACGGGUAGCCGGCCUGAGAGGGUGACCGGCCACAUGGGGACUGAGAUACGGCCCAGAAUCCUACGGGAGGCAGCAGGGGAGAAUAUUGCACAAUGGGCGGAAGCCUGAUGCAGCAACGCCGCGUGCGGGAUGACGGCCUACGGGUGGUAAACCGCUUUCGCCUGUGAUGAAGCGUGAGUGACGGUAAUGGGUAAAGAAGCACCGGCUAACUACGUG
rnacentral:rRNA from 1 species